AGUUUGAUCCUGGCUCAGAUUGAACGCUGGCGGCAGGCCUAACACAUGCAAGUCGAGCGGUAGAGAGAAGCUUGCUUCUCUUGAGAGCGGCGGACGGGUGAGUAAUGCCUAGGAAUCUGCCUGGUAGUGGGGGAUAACGCUCGGAAACGGACGCUAAUACCGCAUACGUCCUACGGGAGAAAGCAGGGGACCUUCGGGCCUUGCGCUAUCAGAUGAGCCUAGGUCGGAUUAGCUAGUUGGUGAGGUAAUGGCUCACCAAGGCGACGAUCCGUAACUGGUCUGAGAGGAUGAUCAGUCACACUGGAACUGAGACACGGUCCAGACUCCUACGGGAGGCAGCAGUGGGGAAUUUUGGACAAUGGGCGCAAGCCUGAUCCAGCCAUGCCGCGUGCAGGAUGAAGGCCUUCGGGUUGUAAACUGCUUUUGUACGGAACGAAAAGCCUUCUUCUAAUAAAGGGAGGUCAUGACGGUACCGUAAGAAUAAGCACCGGCUAACUACGUGCCAGCAGCCGCGGUAA
rnacentral:rRNA from 1 species